AGACUCGAUGAGGUGAUUAUCGACAAGGCACGGAAUUUGAAAGAUCGUGAUAUCGCUUAGCCGUUUUAAAGAUUAUGGAUAGCAAGUGGGAUAGUAUGAUAUGAUUUGAAGAGUCAAGCUUCCGAAGUUUUAAUUCUCGGAAGUCAUUUGUACAAGAAGAAAAAGAAGGUUUUCAUUCUAGCAGUCCGCAGUAGUCUAGAUAUUUUAACUAGAAUUUUGUAUAACGCGUUUUAACUCUGAUAUUAUUUGUAAAUGGGGUCAUAUGUAUUUUACUAUAUGAAAUAUGUUUUGAUUUGCGAAAAAUUUACA